rnacentral:rRNA from 1 species
AUUGAACGCUGGCGGCAGGCUUAACACAUGCAAGUCGAGCGGGGGAAGGUAGCUUGCUACCGGACCUAGCGGCGGACGGGUGAGUAAUGCUUAGGAAUCUGCCUAUUAGUGGGGGACAACAUCUCGAAAGGGAUGCUAAUACCGCAUACGUCCUACGGGAGAAAGCAGGGGAUCUUCGGACCUUGCGCUAAUAGAUGAGCCUAAGUCGGAUCAGGUAGUUGGUGGGGUAAAGGCCUACCAAGGCGACGAUCUGUAGCGGGUCUGAGAGGAUGAUCCGCCACACUGGGACUGAGACACGGCCCAGACUCCUACGGGAGGCAGCAGUGGGGAAUAUUGGACAAUGGGGGGAACCCUGAUCCAGCCAUGCCGCGUGUGUGAAGAAGGCCUUAUGGUUGUAAAGCACUUUAAGCGAGGAGGAGGCUACUCUAGUUAAUACCUAGGGAUAGUGGACGUUACUCGCAGAAUAAGCACCGGCUAACUCUGUGCCAGCCGCCGCGGUAA